UACCAGACACCCGAGCCUUACCAAACACCUCAGCCUCGCCAGACACCUUAG
rnacentral:scRNA from 1 species